rnacentral:rRNA from 1 species
AACGAACGCUGGCGGCAGGCCUAACACAUGCAAGUCGAGCGAGGACUUCGGUCCUAGCGGCGGACGGGUGAGUAACGCGUGGGAACGUGCCCUUUGCUUCGGAAUAGCCCUGGGAAACUGGGAGUAAUACCGGAUGAGCCCUUUGGGGGAAAGAUUUAUCGGCGAAGGAUCGGCCCGCGUUGGAUUAGGUAGUUGGUGGGGUAAUGGCCUACCAAGCCGACGAUCCAUAGCUGGUUUGAGAGGAUGAUCAGCCACACUGGGACUGAGACACGGCCCAGACUCCUACGGAAGGCAGCAGUGGGGAAUCUUAGACAAUGGGGGAAACCCUGAUCUAGCCAUGCCGCGUGAGCGAUGAAGGCCUUAGGGUUGUAAAGCUCUUUCAGCUGGGAAGAUAAUGACGGUACCAGCAGAAGAAGCCCCGGCGAACUCCGU